UUUUCCAGACUCUGUUAUUCUUCCCCCUCUCACCUUCUCACAGCCCCGUCUCCCUGAUCAGAGCCCCUGCCCCGUGCCCCCCCCCCCCCCCCCCGGGGCCGCCUUUCCCCGUGCUCCUCUCCCUCCGGAGGGCUCUUCGGACGGUCCUUCAAGGCCCCGCCCUUCAGAAAGUGUUCCUUUGUUCCUCCACGGGUGGUGGCUCCACGUGGCUCCUUCCUGACGGCUGUGAGGUCACGUGGAUGCCUGCCUCGCCAAGCAGGAAAGACUGGUUUGCAAGCGAUGGCGCACCUUCCGGGGAGGCCGGAGGACUCUCCUCCCAUCCUGAGGGACGUCCAGGAUGCCAGCCUCGGAACCCAAUGGGCUGGCCUUGGCCCUCCACCUCCGAGCUGUACUUUUCUGUUUAUUGUGAAAAAGAACACAGGCCGAGAAAGCUGUGUAAAACGUCCUCGUCUGGAAUCUAGGAUUACGCGGCGUGAACCACCCAGGCGGCUCUGGAACGUCAGGCUGGUGUUCACGGCUCCUGACACGGUGCUUGGGUGGCCACUGUCCACGGGAAACUGCUUUGUACAGCAGCAGGACCUGGGUGCAUGCACACGAGAUCAAGAGGUAUUCAGAUGACCUUUGCCCCAGCGAGCUCAAUAGAAGCAGGCGUUGGAAAGCGAGCUCAAUAGAAGCAGGCGUUGGAUGGCUGGGCCUCAGCUGGUGAGAAGUGGAGAUGAAAACGAUGCCCCUGUGCAUGUCUCUGUGACCCCCCCACCCCGGACCUGUCCCCCUCUCUGGGGAUCUAGCUGUCUGCCCCUCCUCCCCUGGGAACAGACCCCAAAGAGCUGAUCACCAACCCAGACACACACUUGCACACGUGUGCUUGCAGAAGCACGGCUCCUGUCACCGAAGCAAACGUCUGUGAUUCGUGAAGACCUCAAUGUGCUGUUCCAGACAGAGGAAGAUGGCCAGCCGCCGGAAGGGGUGAUGCAGGGCGCAUGGCGGGUGGACCUCGAAAACACGGGGCUCAAUGAAAGACGUCAAACACGGAAGGCAUGUGUGGUACAACCCUGUGCCCGUGAGAUGUCAGGUCAGGCCAGUCCACGGACGGAAGGUUCUCUCCAAACUUUGAUUGGAAUUUGGACUGGAAGGGCACCACGUGUGCCCACUAAUUCUGGGGGAACAGAUACCACUCAGCACUGAGCCCUCCUCUUCAGGAACCGACAGCCAAAGUUUGUUCAUCCAAAUAUUCUUCACGUGCCUCAGAACAGUUUUCAGGUCUCAUCCUGAGGAACCCGUUUCCGCUGGCUCCAUCCACGUGGCGACGUGUCUGGGGGACCCAGGAGUCUGUCUUUGCCUACGACCUCUCCUGUGACUCAGAGUGAUGCUCAGCACCGUCCAACUGAACCUUGCUGCUCUUUCAGAGGCAGACUGGCUGUGGACCAGUCCUUUUUCUCUCAUUCGACACACUCAUCACUCUGACUUCCUAGCAGAAAGUCCCGGAGCUUAGGGCAUUCGCUUCUCUGUGAUGCUGGCAUCCCCAGCCUCAAAAUUAUUCCCACUGACUCUGUGAGCUAAACACCUGUUCUUCCUAUGCUGUUUACUUGAAAGUCACCAAGGGAAAGGUUUCAUUUGUUUUCAAAAGGUUUUAUUUUUUAGAGCAUUUUUAGGUUUACAGCAAAAUUGUGCAGACAGUACAGUGGGUUCUCAAGGGUCCCCCUUCUCUCAUAGCUUCUAUUAUUAACCACU